AUAGAGAGUUUUCUUAUCUAAGUUAACAGUUAGUUACUUUCUUGCCUGAGUGCCUGUUCUUGGAGGUCUACCAUUUACUUACUUCUUUUGGAGUAAUUCGUCAUCAGAGUCGGUGAUAUCUGCCGGUUGAGGUGCAGUCACAACCACUCGUUCAGUGUUAACUGUGUUGAGAUGCGUUGUGAUUUCCGUAAGCUGAAGGCCGUGACCUUGAAUAGAAGAGAGUACUUCCUUCAUUUCGAAAGAAUCCGGAAGCAGGAUGGAUUUCAUUGUAUUCAUUGCUCCUCUUAUCAUGCCCACUUCUCUGGAGGUAGUUCUUAUUUCCCUAAGAAACAUCACCUAAGCAAAGCCGCAAUACAGGGAAAUUUUGAAGAGAAAGACCCAACUAUUCUUUUGCCCAAUCAAUCUGAUGAUAUCUCUCAUUUGGCUUUAGAUAUUGGAGGUUGGUUUACUUUUCAAGACACGAAGAAGAUCAGUCGUCUAUCAACGACAGUAAGAAGGAGAAAUCAGGUGUUCUUAAUUCGAUUCGUAGAAGCUAUCGUAUUCUUGGAGGAAGGCUUCAUUUUGUCAAGUUUGAGACACACAAGAUCAAUGAAUGCAUUGAUUUUAUAUCUUCUAAACAGCUUCACUAUGGUGCAUUCAUUCAUUCAUUCAUAGUGCAUUCAUUGGAGCUCUAAGCCUCUAACCCGUCUAACAGGGAUGAAGCUGUAAUCAAGAGAAUCUGAGCUGAGUAGAUUAUGUCAAGUUUUAAAUCCAAAAAACAAUUUGAAGGACAAGAUUGUUAUCCAAGAGGAGAUUUGGAUGAUGAAAAGCCGCAAGUUCAGCUUCGUGGAUUGAUGAAUAAUCAAGAGCAUCUUAUCUUCCUACGUAAGAACUGCAAUAGUUAUGAGAAGUCUGGUAAACUGACAUAUGAAGCUGAUCCUGAUGUAUCAUCUUUGGGACCUCAUUCUCAGAUUCCACACUCUUGCCCACUUCUUGCAGAAGCAGAGGCCAUGAUGUAUUCCAAUUUGAGGUCAUAUAAUUCAACAGAUAUUUGGAAUAUGAAACUUUCAAAACUGUCAAGUCAAUCUGAUCGAUUUGAACUUGUAAGUACAGAACUUUCAUUUUCGAAAGGUGGGAACCACCUGUCAUCUGAUCGUAGCUUUAGCUUUCGCCUUAGAAAGCGUCUCAGUAGAAGUUUUAGUUCAAGAGAGAGUUU